rnacentral:rRNA from 1 species
UCGGGUGACGAGCGGCGGACGGGUGAGUAAUGUCUGGGAAACUGCCUGAGGGAGGGGGAUAACUACUGGAAACGGUAGCUAAUACCGCAUAAUGUCGCAAGACCAAAGUGGGGGACCUUCGGGCCUCAUGCCAUCAGAUGUGCCCAGAUGGGAUUAGCUAGUAGGUGGGGUAACGGCUCACCUAGGCGACGAUCCCUAGCUGGUCUGAGAGGAUGACCAGCCACACUGGAACUGAGACACGGUCCAGACUCCUACGGGAGGCAGCAGUGGGGAAUAUUGCACAAUGGGCGCAAGCCUGAUGCAGCCAUGCCGCGUGUGUGAAGAAGGCCU